rnacentral:rRNA from 1 species
UACGUAGGGUGCGAGCGUUAAUCGGAAUUACUGGGCGUAAAGCGUGCGCAGGCGGUUCGUGAUGUCUGGUGUGAAAGCCCCGGGCUUAACCUGGGAAUUGCAUUGGAAACUAGCGGGCUGGAGUGUGGCAGAGGGGGGGUGGAAUUCCACGUGUAGCAGUGAAAUGCGUAGAGAUGUGGAGGAACACCGAUGGCGAAGGCAGCCCCCCUGGGCUAACACUGACGCUCAUGCACGAAAGCGUGGGGAGCAAACGGG